GACGAACGCUGGCGGCGCGCCUAACACAUGCAAGUCGAACGGACUUAAGGAGCUUGCUUCUUAAGUUAGUGGCGGACGGGUGAGUAACACGUGAGCAACCUGCCUUUCAGUGGGGGACAACAGUUGGAAACGACUGCUAAUACCGCAUAACAUCAUCGAGUGGCAUCACUUGAUGAUCAAAGAUUUAUUGCUGAAAGAUGGGCUCGCGUCUGAUUAGAUAGUUGGUGAGGUAACGGCCCACCAAGUCGACGAUCAGUAGCCGGACUGAGAGGUUGAACGGCCACAUUGGGACUGAGACACGGCCCAGACUCCUACGGGAGGCAGCAGUGGGGGAUAUUGGACAAUGGGGGGAACCCUGAUCCAGCGACGCCGCGUGAGGGAAGAAGGUUUUCGGAUUGUAAACCUCUGUUGACAGGGAAGAAAAUGACGGUACCUGUUUAGAAAGCCACGGCUAACUACGUGCCAGCAGCCGCGGUAAUACGUAGGUGGCAAGCGUUGUCCGGAAUUACUGGGUGUAAAGGGAGCGUAGGCGGGGCGGCAAGUCAGAAGUGAAAAUUAUGGGCUCAACUCAUAACCUGCUUUUGAAACUGUUGCUCUUGAGUGAAGUAGAGGCAAGCGGAAUUCCCAGUGUAGCGGUGAAAAUGCGUAGAUAUUGGGAGGAACACCAGUGGCGAAGGCGGCUUGCUGGGCUUUUACUGACGCUGAGGCUCGAAAGCGUGGGGAGCAAACAGGAUUAGAUACCCUGGUAGUCCACGCUGUAAACGAUGAUUACUAGGUGUGGGGGGGAUUGACCCCUUCCGUGCCGCAGUUAACACAAUAAGUAAUCCACCUGGGGAGUACGACCGCAAGGUUGAAACUCAAAGGAAUUGACGGGGGCCCGCACAAGCAGUGGAGUAUGUGGAUUAAUUCGAAGCAACGCGAAGAACCUUACCGGGUCUUGACAUCGAGUGACCGGCUCAGAGAUGAGCCUUUCUCUUCGGAGACACGAAGACAGGUGGUGCAUGGUUGUCGUCAGCUCGUGUCGUGAGAUGUUGGGUUAAGUCCCGCAACGAGCGCAACCCUUAUGAUUAGUUGCUACGCAAGAGCACUCUAAUCAGACUGCCGCUGACAAAACGGAGGAAGGUGGGGAUGACGUCAAAUCAUCAUGCCCUUUAUGACCCGGGCCUCACACGUACUACAAUGGCGUUUAACAAAGAGAAGCAAAGCCGCGAGGCAGAGCAAAUCUCGAAAAAACGUCUCAGUUCAGAUUGCAGGCUGCAACUCGCCUGCAUGAAGUCGGAAUUGCUAGUAAUCGCGGAUCAGCAUGCCGCGGUGAAUACGUUCCCGGGCCUUGUACACACCGCCCGUCAAACCAUGAGAGUUGGCAACACCCGAAGCCGAUAGCCUAACCGCAAGGAGGGCGUCGUCGAAGGUGGGGUCGAUGAUUGGGGU
rnacentral:rRNA from 1 species